AGCCCUAAAAAGACAAAAAGAAAGAAAAGAAAAGAAAAAAAAAAAGAUUAUUUCUGGCUCACACAACCUGUCCAGCCUGGGCUUGGAGAGGUUCUGCUCUGUGACAUCCCCACUCUGGGACCCAGGCUGAUGCGGCUGUUCCUUCUUAAGAGGCUGAUAUCCGCACAAGGCAGCUGGGUUUUCUGCAGCUGGGAUAUAGGCCUGGGGACCCAGCAUGUGCACCUCAAGGCUUAUGCCUAUCGAGUGAUGUCUACUACAUUCCAAUGACUUGAACCCUUGGCCUGGAAAACGGCAAUGCUCAGGGACCAGAAUUAGGGGAAAAGCUAGAUAUUGGGGAAUUUUAGAAACAUCAACCACAGGUCUGGAUUCAGUCAUCUUUUUGUCUCCCCAUUUUAACAAUUACAGAGAACCCCAAUAUGAACUGACAGUGAAUAAAAUGAUCACGGACCUCAGUGUUUUCAGUCUAGUUAUUACCAUCUCAGUGUUGGCCCUGAUUCCCCAGACUCCACGAUGAGGCAGCAAUGGAUAAGAAGCCCUCUGUGAAGCCACUGUUUUAUUUUUCCUUCCCCUGGACAACCACUCACCCCCACCACGGAGAUUCAUGGGAACUCAGGCCCCAAGGGUCUGUCAACUUUAGAUGCUCCACAGGGUCCAAUGCAAAGAGCCCAGAUGGAUAAGAUCAAGCAGACAGUUUCUCAGACGUCUAUAGCAAAGAGCAGAGGGCUGGCAGCCAGCAUGAGAUACUAAGACUAGUCUUUGUGGGCAGCUGGCGGGAGCCUGGGGAUGCUGCCAUUUUUCUAACAGGCUCAGAAUGGAGAUGGAUUUUUUUUUAACCUGCUGGAGGAGCCACUAGUUAGCAAACACUGCUCUUCCAGGAAAACAAAUACACAGCCAGGAGACCCAUUUUUCCUCCAUGAUUAAACACCGUUAGCUCAGAUAAAAGAGAUUUCAAGUAUGGAAACUCUUUAAAACCCCUCCCUCCCUCCUUUCUUCCCUUUCUCCUUCUCCCCGCCCUUUGAUGGAGUUUCAGCGCCUGCAUGAAGCACUAACAACCACUAUUUCAUCUUACAUUUCUAUAGCAGGAAAUGUAGGUCACUGAUCUUCCAAGUGGCCUAGUUUUCCAGCUCUAAAUAGACAUAUUUCCCCAGGUUGAGAUUUUUUUUUUUUCUAGGUUUGUGUCUAAUAAAAGCAGGACCUGCUUAGCCAAGCCAAAGAGGCUGUGCUCCAGCCUCCUCCUCUGCCCGCCAGCUAUGCACAGGGAGGUUAGAAGGAUGACCUGUAGGGCCUGCAGCCUUAGGAAUGUCCAGGGCCACAGCUUUCCUUGUAAGCGGCAUGAGGGCCAGAAGCUGCCUCUGAGGGCACAGGGGAUAGGACCUAACAGGAAGAGUGGAGCCACUUCUCCUCCACCAGGAAAACAAGGACAGAGCAACCACUGCGGGUCAGAUGCCCACCUGUGCUGGAAGUCUGCAUUCUUCACAUUUUAUCCCUCUCCAGGUCAGCUUGGGUCUCCUCUUGUCUUCUUGCUUUAUCUUCCUUCCUUCCUUCUUUCCUUCCUUCCUUUCUCCCUUCCUCCCUCCCUCCUUUUCUUUUCUUUUCCUUUCCUUUCUUUCUUUCUUCUCCAAGUUCAUGGUAGAAAACUGGAAACAGAUGAGUGAAAAUAAAAACUGGAGUUCCCAUUGUGACUCAGGAUUUUUUUUUAAAUAAUUCAAUGAAUUUUAUUAUAUUUAUAGUUGUACAGCCAUCAUCACAACCUAAUUUUAGAACAUUUCCAUCCCAAAUCCCCAGUCCACCCCUCUCCCUCUCCCCUUUAGUAACCUUAAGUUUUUCAAUGUCUCUGAGUCAGUUUCAGCAGGUUAAGAACCCAACGUAGUGUCCGUGAGGAUGCAUGUUCGAUCCCUGGCCUUGCUCAGUGGGUUAAGGAUCCAGUGUUGCCAUGACUAUGGCAUAGGUUUCAGUUGCAGCUCUGAUUCAACGCUUGGCCCAGGAACUUUCAUACGCUGCAGGUAUGGCCAUGAAAAGAAAAGUAAAUAAAAGAAAAGGAGAGAGGGAGAGAGAGAGAGGGGAAGGAGGGAAGGAAGGAAGAAGGAAGAAAAACAAAAAAAAACUCAUAAUACUACCAGAGAAAAACCCUGUUACCAUUUCUCUGUGUAUCUUCCCAGUUAUUUUUCUAUGCAUAUGCACUAACAUAGGCUUAUUUUUAGCAAGACUCAGAUCACAAUGUUCUAUGGCCUUGUUUUCUCCCUUAACCUAUGUUAUAAUUAUAAACACUCCUGGUCAAUUCGUGUGUGUGUGUGUGUGUGUGUGUGUGUGUGUGUGUGUGUGUGUUUACGUAUAUGACCUUGGGUUUUUUUUCUGAAAUUACUCACAGAAUUUUGUAAAAAUAAAUUCUAACCUGAAAGAGAUGGCUUGUCAUUUUUCAAAGAUUGCUUUAUUUAGGGUACUGUUAAAAAGGAAUAAAAAUCAUCCCUAAUUCCAUCAGUUAAAUCUACCUCUCCUCCCAAUGUGCUGCUUCUCCAGCCCUGAUAUCUACAGGUAACCACCGUUACUAGCUUAAUGGCCUGAGAUUUUUCGUAUGUAGUUAACAUAUAUACAUAGUAAACACUAUAUAUAGUAAAUAUUAUAAAUACAUAGUAAGCAUAUAUACAUACAUGCACAUGUGUUUUUAAUGGGAAUGCACCAUCUUUUCUGUUUUGCAAUUUGCCUUUUUCACUGAACAGUAUGACAUGGACAUCUCCACAUCAGAACAUGUGCAGGAUCCAGAGCAUUCUUUUCAGUCAAUGCAUGGCACUCCAUCAUGGACAUACAAUAAUUCAACUAUUCCCUAAUGAAGGGAAUGAGGAUUUGUUGUGGCGGUUUUUUAUUUUAUUUUUCUAUUUUUUUAUAUUUUGUUUGUUUGUUUGUUGGGUUUUUUGUUUGCUUUUUAGGGCCUCGCUCGUGGCAUAUGGAAGUUCCCAGGCUGGGGGUCAAAUCAGCUGCAGCUACCGGCCUACACCAUGGCCACAGCAACUCCGGAUCUGAGCCACAUCUGUGACCUACACCACAGCUCAUGGCAACUUCGGAUCCUUAACCCACUGAGUGAGGCCAGGGAUCGAACUUGCAUCUUCAUGGAUCCUAGUUGGGUUCAUUAACUGCUGAGCCAUGAAGGGAACUCCGUGUUUUUCUAUUUUAAAUCAUGUUGUAGAUAUCACAGCAGGAAGGGCUCUAUUAGAAGAGACCAAUUAGGAUUCCCAUCGUGGCUCAUUGGUUAACGAAUCUGAAUAGGAACCAUGAGGUUGCAGGUUCGAUCCCUGGCCUUGCUCAGUGGGUUAAAGGAUCCGGCGUUGCCGUGAGCUGUGGCGUAGGUUGCAGACGCGGUUCGGAUCCUGUGUUGCUGUGGCUCUGGCGUAGGCCAGUGGCUACAGCUCCGAUUC
rnacentral:lncRNA from 9 species